UCUGAAACGAAAUGCGCUCGUUGCAGUU
rnacentral:sRNA from 1 species